AAGGAAGAAGAAAAACCAAAAAAAAUGAAGAAAACACGAAAAACGAUAUUAAUAAUUCCAUUUACAAUCGAUCAGCGCCUCUCUCACUGUUAUUUUCUUUCUCUAUUUUAAAAUAUCAUUCACU
rnacentral:ribozyme from 1 species